CUCUCUCUCUCUCCGACCGAAGCUGCCAUUGCUGCCGCCGGCCAUCUCCAGCAAGCCUCAGGCUAGCUACCAGCAACACAACGACGAGGCUACCUCUGGCAUGAACUGGCAGCCACUUAUGGCAAAUGCAGCUUGCUUGUCAUUGGCACUCUGGAAAGGUUCAGAUGGACAGAAAAUAUGACCGGAGACUGGUGGAACGUUGGAAGAGAGCAAGCCUGGAAAUGGGGUUCUUCUGCCUGCAAAUGGGGUUUUCGCUGACUCAACAUUAAACUUAAAAAAACUCAUCUGUUAUAAAGAUUUUAGAAAGAAACUGCAAGGAGCACGGUUCAGGUAAAUCUGCGCCUCAUGGAGUCGCCUUGAUGCGUUUUGUUGAUGAGGCGGCUUGAUGCACACUUUUCAUGUCUCGAAGCGUGUGGACUUAACACAAGGCAAGUAUUUUACGGCCAUUCUUCUCCCUGCAAGCAGUAUAACAUUCAAUUAUGGCUUCAAUGAAGCUGAGCGCAUAGCUGUCCUGAGUUUAUGCAACUAUGGUACUUCCACUUGCAUUUGGCAACGGUUUCUGGAGUUAAUCCCCUGACCACAAAAUUAAGAAGAAGAAAAAAAACAUUUGCUUUGGACUGUGAAGAACUUGAGAUAUGAUUUGACAAUUCGCACAGAAUCAUAGACAGGAAACGUUUCACAAGA